AUUGAACGCUGGCGGCAUGAUUUACACAUGCAAGUCGAACGGUAACAGGCCGCAAGGUGCUGACGAGUGGCGAACGGGUGAGUAAUGCAUCGGAACGUGCCCAGUCGUGGGGGAUAACUACUCGAAAGAGUAGCUAAUACCGCAUACGAUCUAUGGAUGAAAGCGGGGGACCGUAGGGCCUCGCGCGAUUGGAGCGGCCGAUGUCAGAUAGGUAGUUGGUGGGGUAAAGGCUCACCAAGCCAACGAUCUGUAGCUGGCCUGAGAGGACGACCAGCCACACUGGGACUGAGACACGGCCCAGACUCCUACGGGAGGCAGCAGUGGGGAAUUUUGGACAAUGGGCGCAAGCCUGAUCCAGCAAUGCCGCGUGCAGGAAGAAGGCCUUCGGGUUGUAAACUGCUUUUGUACGGAACGAAACGGCUCUGGUUAAUACCCGGGGCUAAUGACGGUACCGUAAGAAUAAGCACCGGCUAACUACGUG
rnacentral:rRNA from 1 species